AGAGUUUGAUCAUGGCUCAGAAUCAACGCUGGCGGCGUGCCUAACACAUGCAAGUCGAACGCGAAAGUGGAGCAAUCCAUGAGUAGAGUGGCAAACGGGUGAGUAACGCGUGGGUGACCUGCCUUCGAGUGGGGGAUAACGCUCCGAAAGGGACGCUAAUACCGCAUAACAUCCUGCCUUUUAAGAGGUGGAAAUCAAAGCCUGGGACCGCAAGGCCAGGCGCUUGAAGAGGGGCCCGCGUCUGAUUAGCUAGUUGGUGGGGUAAUGGCUCACCAAGGCUUCGAUCAGUAUCCGGCCUGAGAGGGCGGACGGACACACUGGGACUGAGACACGGCCCAGACUCCUACGGGAGGCAGCAGUGGGGAAUUGUUCGCAAUGGGCGCAAGCCUGACGACGCAACGCCGCGUGGAGGAUGAAGAUCUUCGGGUCGUAAACUCCUUUCGAUCGAGACGAACGGCUUCCGGGUAAUAUCCGGGAGAGUGACGGUACCGAGAGAAGAAGCCCCGGCUAACUCCGUGCCAGCAGCCGCGGUAAUACGGGGGGGGCAAGCGUUGUUCGGAAUUACUGGGCGUAAAGGGCUCGUAGGUGGCCAACUAAGUCAGACGUGAAAUCCCUCGGCUUAACCGGGGAACUGCGUCUGAUACUGGAUGGCUUGAGUUUGGGAGAGGGACGCGGAAUUCCAGGUGUAGCGGUGAAAUGCGUAGAUAUCUGGAGGAACACCGGUGGCGAAGGCGGCGUCCUGGACCAACACUGACACUGAUGAGCGAAAGCCAGGGGAGCAAACAGGAUUAGAUACCCCGGUAGUCC
rnacentral:rRNA from 1 species